CCUCCUGGGAACUGCCGAAAAUGGGGCGGGGGGACAGUGGCAGAUCCUUGCGUGUCUGCCGAUGCUGAAUUUAGGAGCAGCCACCCCAAAACCGCCCUGCCGGAGUCCUGGUGGAGGGGCACCUCCCUGCCUUGUGUGGUAGCCCGGCUAGUUCUCUGCCAGGGACCCUGGCUGUCAACCACUCAGUCAGAAGCUUCCUGGAGCCCCUUGGAGGCCUCGUCCCCCCACGGGAAACGCUGGCGCCCCGGAGCCCAAGGCCGUGCGCUGACGGAGGGACUCGAGCUGUGGGACGGCAAGUCUGCAGUGCGGAUCCAUGGCUCGGUGACACCUGGGCGAGCAGCGGUCUGCGGCUGAGCUUGGCACCUCACUCUUUUCCUCUCGGUAGCACGGGUGGGAGUGGGGUGGUGGACAGGCCGACCUCAGGCAGCGGGUCCCCAACCUGGGUGAUGGGCACCUGGCUGGGCAUGGGUGUCACCAGGGAAACACCCAAGCGGAUUAUCCCUGAGUGGACUUGGCAACAAGGCCCUGGGGCUUCAACAGGGGAAGCUCUGUGACCACCUCCGAUUCCACUCCUCCUCCAGGAAGCCCUCCUGAGCCACCUCUGCCCACCUGAGUUUUUUUCUCCUUUGGACUCUGGUGUGUUUGGCAUGUGGACCGCAUGGUCUGACCUUUACGUCUUCUAUGUUGUGAAAGGAAGUCUUGUCUCUCCGGACAGCCGGGGGCAGGGCCCCCCUAUAAUGGCUGGUUGUGUCGACUGAGAGGAGACCGGGCGCCAGGAGUGCAGGCCCGGAGAGGGCACUGGGUGUGACUCCCAGCUAUGCCACCCACAACCUGCAUCGCCUCGGGCAGGCUGCCCAUUGCUCUGAGCCUCAGUUUCCCCUUCUGUGAAAAGGGGUCUUCGCAGCACUGGCCUCUAAGGGGGUGAUGGAUGCAAGCUCUGGUCCGGCGCCUGGAGUGCAGAGGCCGAGAGCUGCCCCCUCCCUGCCGGGGCCAAGCCGGUGGGGCCCUGCACUCAGAAUGCCGGGCGUGUGCUGGGCCUGCUCCUUCUCCAGGCCCUGCAGGCCAUCCUGGGCCCAGCCUCGUCUAGCAGGCCCCCAACCCUGCCCAGGCCUCGGUGCCUUCUCCGUCCUGGGAAACGCCGGGCCACCCACACUGGCGAGAUUUUUGUAAGGGGAGAGGGUACUUGGAGACUAUCCAGGUAUCCCGUCUCUUCUUGAACCUUUGCCCGUUCAUUUUAGCAUCCGUGGUGGCUCCUGCCUGCUGUGUCUCCACUGCGCGCGACUGACCGACGGUGGGUUCAGGGCCGGGUACAGAGGUUCUGGGCGGCUCCCGGGGGAGUGGCCUUGUUUGUCACAAAGCAGCGGGAUAGGCAGACGAGGGCUCUGGGCCUGUACCACGGGAGCCCAGUCAGGCCCUCAUCAGCUCUCUGACCUCAGGCAAUGAGGGUCUCUCCCCAAGCCUCAGUUUCCCCAUUUGUACCAUGUGGCUGACACCCUCCUCAUCAGGUUGCUGGAUGAGGCUGAGCUGCUGGAUGUAAAACCUUUCUCAGGGCUGGGGCUGUGGGACGCUCCGGGGCCACAGGCUGCUCUGCAGGGUUCUCCCGGGCCGUGGGUCGCCCAGGUGGGGCGGCCAGUUGUUGAAAGCCCACUCCUGGAGCUUCUCCGGGCCCCCUGUGCUCUCUCUCCAAGGCCAGGAGCCAUCUGUAGGGCGAGUCUUUCAAAAGCCCCCAGAACAAGCUCUCGCUUCACAGACUGGGGAAAUCAAGGCCUAGAGAGGUUGCAGAGUUGGCAGCCAGAGAGCUCAUCCUUUCUGGCGGUGGCUGGCUAGUCACCUUCUGAGUAACGGACCUCAGGGACCUGGAGAGAGUGGGGUCCCAGCAGGAAACGGACACCCACACCACUGGGGCAAUUUGAGCAAGUUUAAGGAGGUCACCCUGCACAAAGAUGGGGUUUGGUAAAGGGACUCUCGAGGGCUAGUGUGGGGCCGGCGAGGAACAGGGGGCUGCUGUCACCACGGCUGGGCCCAAGGCGGGGUGGGGCCUGGACCUGGGGACAGAGCCAAGGCAAGAGGGCCGUCAGAGGUGCUGCUGUGGCCCUGUGGCCUGGAGGGGAGAUGUGGAACGACUAGGUUAUGCCCCCGCCGGUGCUGGGAGCCGGCAGGAUGCUGGAGGGCAAGGGGGACUGCAGGUGGCCUGGGGCACAGAGCGGGUGGAGAGGGGAGCACUCAGGUCUCUGAGUGCAGGACCCUCCCACGAUGACCAGUGCCAACUUUUGAGAACUCAUUUCAGGAGACGGCAGCCGUGCUGAGUGAGCCCUGGACCCCACCCUUGGCUUCCUUGAGUCCAAAGCUAAGAAGCUUCGACAUUGUUCCUCCUUCUGCGGAGGAACAGAAGCACCUUCUGUGGCUCCCCAUUGCCUGCGGAUGGAGUCCCAGCCCUGGGCUGUGGGGGUCGGGCCCUCUGCAAUGGGUCCCUAAAGCCUGCCUCCAGGGCCCUUGGGGCUCCUGGGGGACGGGGCCACUUCUUCCCUGUGGGCAGAGUCCUGAGGGGCUAGGAAGCAUCCUCGGCCUUCUUGGCCCAGAGCACGGCUUCCCUAGCUCAGUCUACCGGCAUCUUGACUGGGUCUUUGCAGUGGUGCCGUGCUGGGCAGUGCAGGGUGUCCAGCCCUGGCCAAAUGUCCCCUGGGGACAAAACCCCAACCUAGAGAAAUAAACCCUCCUCCUGAGUCAGGCGGGAUUCAGACCAGUCCAGGUGUUGCCUCUUCCUCCGUGGUUCUCCACAGCAUUCUCCCCGGUCAGGCAUUUCUGCUUCAUUUUCAGCGUGUGCCCACCUCGUGGGGCAUCGGGAAGACUCUGUGAGUCGGCCUGAGCGCGCUUCGAGUCCCCUCGCUCCCUCACCUGCAGCCCUUGCGGCUGGAGGCCUGGCCCUCGCGGUCCUGCCCCCGGCGCCCUGUGGGCCCAGGUGAGCCAUCCGGGCCUCCAUGCUGGCGGGGAGCUCUGUCGCAGGAGCAUUAACACCUGGCUCCUGGGGUUCCUGUCCCUAGAGACCUUCUGGGUGACAAAGGGCGACUCUGAGGCCCAGAGGAGGGAAGAUGUUGGCAGAAGCUCUGGCAGACGGUGAGGGGCGGAGCCGUGAUUCUCGGCUGGGUGGGUUUGUCCUUGCUCUCUGCACCGAUAGGUGCCUGUGUGCAGGAGAAAGAACCUUCCAGAGGCGAGUUCAGUGAAGGGUGAGCUUCCCUUGCUCCGUGGGCCCUUCUGCCGUUGAUGCUCUUCCUUCCAGAAUGUUCUGGCCCUCGCACCACCUGUGAGUUUGUUUAGACACACAGAUACCCCCUCUUCCUCCCGCCCUCCCUCCCCACCGGGCGCCGGGCCCUAGAUCCGCGGUGUCUCCGUGGAGCUGCCCGCUCCUCCCGGCGGCCCCCUUCUCAUGGGGAUUUAGGCUGAUUCCGGUUGGGGACCUCACGGGGCCAUGCAGCUGUGGACGUCCCUGCCCGACAUUUGUGAGCAUUUCUCCCAGUGGGUGUUCAGGUGGCGUUGCCGUGCUGGGCAGCGGGCCCCUUUUGAGUCUUGAAACUUGAUGGGACCCCGAUGGGCGUUUUGGUCGCCUGAAGGGGAGAGGUCCGGAGCGCUCGGGGUCGUGGGAGGAGACGCCGAGGAGGUGUGACUCGCCUACCUGAGGGGGCGCGACGAGGUGGCUCAGGGUCUCAUGGCUCCUUCCAGAAGCCACCAGCACCAAACGGACAGCUCUGCCCAGGCCGUCCCCAAAAAACAGACAUUACGCUGCGGGGGCGCGAGACAGGGGGCCCGUGGGAGGUUGGCGCCGCAGUGGGAAGAGAGGGUUCUGGAACAGCUCCCUCACCUCUGAGACGUCGUGUCCCUGCUGUUCAGAGAGUCUGCCAGACUCAUCCCUCACGGGGCGGCCAUCGGCAGUGAGGCGGCCUCUCUGUGACCAUGUUGGGGUCAGGAGGCCGUGGGCUCGGAGGACGGGGUGACGGCCCUGAGGGGGCCGCCGGGACCCUGGGGUCGGCCGCCUCCUCCUCUUCCUCCCGCAGCUGGAACCGUCUCCUGAGCGGGCUGCUCUGGUGCUCUCUUGAGGUGCAUGGGAAGGACCUGUUGCCCUUUGUUCAUGUCAUUCUGUCCAAGGCGGGGGUGCCCAGCCGCCUCCCCUGAGCCCCACACCAGGAGGGUGGGGGACCCGGCAUGUGCCCACGGGGGGGCGAGUGGCAGAAAACGCUGAGCGACAGGCAUCAUGGGGCACUUGUGGGGGUGGGUCCUGGGUCAGGAUCUUCCGCCCUCUUUCCUUAGGGCGAGGACAGCUGGGCAGCGUCUGCGUAACAAAUCACCCAAAACUGUGGGUUUAGACAACGACAACCGUUGAUCACCUGGGUUCCUGUGGGCGGGAAUUCAGAAGCAGCUCAGUGGGAGGUUCCGGCUCGGGGCUCCCCCAGGACAAUGCUGGCGGAGGCUGCACCAUCUGAAGGUCUGACCGGGGCUGGAGGAGCCACUUCCCAGGCUGCUCACCCUCACGGUGGGCUGGCUACCUCCCGCCAUGGGGAUGCUGGAGCGCCCUCGCGGCAGGGCGGCCGGCACCCCCCAGCAUGAGCAGCCUGGCAGGUGGAGGGGAGCCACAGAGCUUCCACGAGCCCCCUCGGAAGUCACGCAUCGCUGCUUGCGCAGUGUUCUUUCUGUUGGUCACCUGGCCCGCAGAUGGCCUGCCCUGGCUCAGUCAGGUCCCAGCAGUGGCCCUUGUCUGAGACGGCCCUCGUGGCCCCAUCCUGUGUCCAUUUUCACACACGUCUGCUCCUCUCCACGAUGGGCCCCCAGCGUCUGAUAUAUGGCAUGGGUUCAGCGGCGUUUGGGUUGAGCUGGGCCCACAGGCCUCCCAGCCGGCCUUCAGCCCAGGGCUUCUGGUGAAUCGGACGCCGGAGGGCCUGCGUGGGCCGUUCUGUGCCUCAGAUGGAGUGUUGCGAUGUGGUGGUGUCCCGAGAGAGGGACAUGCGUUCCAACCCUGGCUGUGCGGCCUCAGGCACAUCACGGAGCAUCCCGGGCCUCAGUUUUCAAGUCUGUCAAAUGGGAUAACAGUGGAACCCCCUCCUCUGGCCUCUGAGAAGUUGUGUAAAGGUUUUGGCUCAGCCCCUGGCUGAAGCCAAGCCAGCACCAUGGGGGUUGUUCACACAGCAAUGUGCUCAGGGCCGACCAGGUGCCACGUCUGUGCUCUGGCCGCUGCCUUCGCAGGGCUGCGCUGGGCUGUGCCAGCUGUAGGAGGAGCUGGAAGGAAGAAGGGAGGAGGACGGAAGUGGGAAAGGGGCACUCACUCCCCAGUUACAGGCCGUGGUCAGUGGCUGCGGCCCGGGGAAUAGCCAGGAACCAGGCAGCCCAUUGUUAUGAUGCCAGGGUACCGCUCUGCUUGGGUGGAGGAGGGCCAGAGCCCGGAUAUGGAGGAGGGGGAAUGAGGUGGCACCUCGGAAAUAGGACCGGGCAGGGGCCACAAGACAGGGGCUGUAGCCACACCCUGAACAUCGUGGGGUUUGUGAGCUCUUGGUUUCCAGUGUGCUUUCUGCCUCGUCCUCACGAGCUGGACAGCCACAGGCUCCCCUGUUGCAUUUCUCUGCCUGAAGCCGACGGCAGCCUGAAGGGCAAGGGCAUCAAUUUUGUUGGAGGAAGGGAGAAAAAUAAACCUUUAGAACAACUUGACAAUAAAAAAACCCAGCCAACAAAACGCCCAGCCUGGCAGGACGAUGCAACUGGGAGAUGCUGGUGGCUGAGGCUGGGUGGCCACUGGUUGUCCUGGGCCAUCUGGCGUCCGUCCGUGGGCGUGUUGCCCUGGCCCUGCCCCGUGCUCCAGAAGGUUCUGUGUUUUGCAGGUCACUGGUCUAGAGUCUGGCCCAAGCAUCUCCAUAGCAACAGCGUUCAUUCCGGGUUACUCACUGCUUCUGUUCAUUAAAAGGGAAAAAGAAAGCUUACAGGGAGAGCAGAGGGUCACAUUCAAGGCUCGCUCGGCACCCAGCCUCCACCUGAGAAGGCACGGGAGCUGGGACGUCUCUGCCCCUGGGCCUCCAGGCUCCCCACGGAAGCUGGGUGGGUGUGGGGACAGCAGCCUCUGUCCUGUUCCUCCCCGUCCCCACGGCCACCUCCACAUGAGGCCGCCUCCCUGUGAGGCCACCAUCACCGUCCCCUGCAGGACCAGCAGUCCUGCCUCCCCUCUCUGGCCAGAGUUCCCUCUGUCAUCUGUCCUCCACCCACAGUGAGGUUGCCAAUCUGACCUUCCGCCCCUGAAGCUGUUCUCAAGCUUCGGGUCAGGCUGGACCGCCCCUCUCCUGAUUCCAGCCCCCACGGCAGUCCCCACCCUCCGGAGGUUCUCUCUGAGCUUCCCAGCCCUCUCUUCACCUGGCUCCCUCUUCCUCAUCCUUCAGUGCUCAGCCGGGACCCCCGAGACACCCGGGUGGGUCACGGGCGCCCCCCUGCACGCCCCCGUUCCCUGUGUCCCGUGGAGCUGCAGCUCACUGUCCACUUCCACCAUCGGGCCGGGGCCUCCGUGGGCUCCCAGGGGGCCUCCCUCCUUCCAUGUCCUCCAGCUCGGCCAGCGGAGGUGUCCAGGGGGCGUCUGAGCACAUGCGGUGCCCACAGUUCAGACACCUUCUGGGCAUCGUGAUGGUGAGUGGGGGUGGGGACAAGGAGCCGCCCAGACAUGUGAUCUGGCAGCCCCAUGGGCUGGGGGAAGAGAAAUGAAGCCGAUUUCCACAAGCGUGGGCCAUACGGAGAGUUAACGCCAGUGCACGGACUCGCCCUUGGUCGUGACCCAGCCAGUUUGGGGCCUACGUGGCCAGUCAGUUCUGGGCUAGCGGCCCCGGCCCCAGGAGAUCCCGCUGCGGGCAGAGCUCUCGUUCUGUGCUGGAGAUUUGGGUCCUUGUAGGGGAACUCGGGGUGAGGUUGAGCGCACGGAUGGUGAAGCUCUGUGUCCUUCGGGGAGAGGGAGGGAAGCCCCACAGCAGGUGGGUGCGUGGGGCCCCAGACAUUGUGGGGUCCUCAGCAAUGUCUCGUGCUUGUGAGGGCCUGACACCCACUGGGGCCAGCCCGUGUGGAGGGCCGCAGUGUCUGGGGCCCUGAUGGGCCAUCUUGGGGCUUCCUGGGCAGGAAGGGGACCCAGCAGGCCCCUUGAGGGGGAGCUGGGAAGCCACUGCCUCUCUCAAGCCCCCGUGUCCUGCUUCUUCUUCUUCUACUGCUCUGCUCUGUUCGGCUCGCUGGGCUGGCCUGCCCCAUGCCUGGGCAGUGACCACUCGGCUCCACGCCCACCCCUGACCUGUGUCCCUGGCUUCAGUCCCACUGGGCCUGCUGCCUCGGCUCACAUGCCCAUUCCAGGUCUGGAGCUGGCAGGUGAGAUCACCUGGUGCUGGCCACCCCGAGCAAGCAGCCAGGGAAGACUGUCACCACGGAGACGAGCAGGCUACACACCACACCCGAACAGACACUGUGCACAGCUCUGCCGGCUCCUGCCACUCCUCUGAAGGGCCCCUUCAUCUUUCCAAAGGUCGCUUGUUUUCCUAUAAGUGCCCUUCUCCCUUCCCCUGUCAACUUCCCCUAAGAUGGCAGAUAAGCCCCAAAUUCUAACCACUGCUUUGAGUCACAUUUCUCUGUGAACUCCCAAGUACAUACAUACGUGAAUAAAAAUCUGUCUUUUCUCUCGCUAA